CAAAACAAAGUCAGCCGAAGGAUAGACAUCAUGUGCUUCAUUAGAUAACCUCUCAGUCACAUAUUGUUAGAAGAACUAAAACUGGAUCUUUUUACACUGAGUUUAGCUCAGUGAAUCUGAUUUGCAGAGAAAAAAAUCGGAUAGAAAAGGGGAAAAAAUGGGUACGUUGAGAGUGGCAAAUGAGGUUCCUUCUGCAAACGAAUACUGUAGGCGACUCUAGAAAGCCUUCGAUGGUGUGUCCCUGAUGAGUAGGAUGCGGAACGGAUUAGAAGGCCAUAAUACAAGUAUUGGGGUGCAGGAAUGCAAGCCAAAGGAGGAUAAUUCAAGACCGAUAUCAGCAGCUUUACAAUGAAUCACUCAUCGAUCGUCUCUAUUCUGAACUUUCUGGUGAUUUUAGAAAAGCAGUGAUUUUGUGGACACAAGAUCCUCCAGAAAGGGAUGCUAAACUGGCAAAGGAUGCAUGGAAGAGAAAGAGUAAAGGAAUCAAACACCUAGAAGUAAUAGUUGUGGCAGCAUGUGCAUCAUCUCCUCACCAUCUGAUGGCAGUCAGGUAGGCAUACUGUUUUCUCUUUGAUUGCUCACUUGAAGAGGAUAUCACUUUCAGUGUCGAUAUGCCACUCAGAAAGGUUAGGCAAUCUCUAUCAUAAAACAUAAGAUGCAAACGUUUGACAAAACAGUGGUAUUAAGAUCAGGCUUGUGUCUAGUGUCACGAAACAUGCCCAUGGCAGCAUAUUAUAUAAGCUUAUUUCAGGGGUGCAUUGAUGUCCAGUCUCUAGUGCUCAGGUCCGUCCACGUAGCUUAGUUCUGUGCAAUUUGAAUGAGUGUGGCCAUUUGAAAUUUCCAUAAUGAGGAUCUUGUGCAGCUUUUGGCAAGUCUAGUGAGCCCCUACAGGUUUGACAAAGAAGUGGUGGAUAUGGUGGUAGCUAAAUCAGAGGCAGCUACCCUACAUGAAGCCAUCAGAACAAAGCAAUUAGUUGUGAUCCUGUUGUGUGGAUACUCUGCACAAUAAAUGUCUUUCAGCUCAAAGCAACUUUUGCCUGAUACAAGCAAAACUUUGGAAACUCCAUUGACCAGGUUUAGCUUUUACAUUAGCUAAUCAAUGGAUACAUAUUUUUUUGGAAUAUCAUUUGUGAUAUUUUCAUCACAAUUAGCCUCGUUUGUUUUCGGAGAUGA